rnacentral:tRNA from 1 species
AAAAAGAUAAGCUAAAUAAGCUUUUGGGCUCAUACCCCGACCAUGGGGUCAAUCAACCCCUCUUUUUA